ensembl:rRNA 5S_rRNA 5S ribosomal RNA
CUUUACGGUCACACUACCCUGAGAACGCCCGAUCUCGUCUGAUCUCGGAAGCUAAGCAGGGUUUGGCCUGGUUAGUACUUGGAUGGAGACCACCUGGGAAUACCAGGUGCCUGUAAGCU